CACCUGUCCUAUUGCCCGUGAUCCAACUCGAAGUUUUAACUCGAAAUCCAACUCGCAGUGUUUUCAAUAAGAGGCGGUUACCGGCGGUUUACCACCGCCUAUUUCGCCUCUGACAGCCGGUUAUUUCAGUAAUAUGCCAGCAAACUUUAAAACUAGGCAGCGAAUCCCUUUCUGCCUGUGAAGCGAAAGCUUUGCUGUACAAGUAGACUUUGCCCUUACAGGUAAACUACGUGAAGCGUUCCUCUUUUGAGUUUCUAAAUUGAUUGCAAUUUUCCUCAUUACUUUUGCAAUUUAAAAAACUCCCUUGCAAAUCCCUUGGGGGAAUUUGCAAUAUUGCUAAAAGCCAAAAAAAUUUUCCUCAGUUCCUGUUAGAAGUUCUUAACUUCCUGUUACAAGUUCCUAACUUCCUGUUCUGUUCUGGGCGUUGCAAUUGGCUAACAAAAAUAAUCGACCAAUAACAAUGCUCAGAACAGAACAGGAAGUUAGGAAAUUAAAA